UACGAAGGGGGCUAGCGUUGUUCGGAAUUACUGGGCGUAAAGCGCGCGCAGGCGGUUUUUCAAGUCAGUGGUGAAAGCCCGGAGCUCAACUCCGGAAAUGCCAUUGAAACUGUAAAACUUGAGGACGAGAGAGGUGAGUGGAAUUCCCAGUGUAGAGGUGAAAUUCGUAGAUAUUCGCAAGAACACCAGUGGCGAAGGCGGCUCACUGGCCCGAUACUGACGCUGAGGUGCGAAAGCGUGGGGAGCAAACAGG
rnacentral:rRNA from 1 species